rnacentral:rRNA from 1 species
UACGUAGGGUGCGAGCGUUGUCCGGAAUUAUUGGGCGUAAAGAGCUCGUAGGCGGUCUGUCGCGUCGGUCGUGAAAAUUUGGGGCUUAACCCUGAGCUUGCGGUCGAUACGGGCAUGACUGGAGUUCGGUAGGGGAGACUGGAAUUCCUGGUGUAGCGGUGAAAUGCGCAGAUAUCAGGAGGAACACCGGUGGCGAAGGCGGGUCUCUGGGCCGAUACUGACGCUGAGGAGCGAAAGCGUGGGGAGCGAACAGG